AUUGAACGCUGGCGGCAGGCUUAACACAUGCAAGUCGAGCGAGAGGCGGACGGGUGAGUAAUGUCUGGGAAACUGCCUGAUGGAUGGGGAUAACUACUGGAAACGGUAGCUAAUACCGCAUACCAUCAGAUGUGCCCAGGUGGGAUUAGCUUGUAGGUGGGGUAAUGGCUCACCUAGGCGACGAUCCCUAGCUGGUCUGAAAGGAUGACCAGCCACACUGGAACUGAGAGACGGUCCGUACGCCUACGGUAGGCAGCAGUGGGGAAUAUUGCACAAUGGGCGAAAGCCUGAUGCAGCCAUGCCGCGUGUGGGAAGAAGUCCUUCGGGUUGUAAAGCACUUUCAGCGAGAAGGCGUUACUCAAAGAAGAAGCACCGGCUAACUCCGUGCCAGCAGCCGCGGUAAUUC
rnacentral:rRNA from 1 species